CACUAGUGAUUGAGUUUGAUCCUGGCUCAGGACGAACGCUGGCGGCGUGCCUAAUACAUGCAAGUCGAGCGAGCUUGCCUAGAUGAUUUUAGUGCUUGCACUAAAUGAAACUAGAUACAAGCGAGCGGCGGACGGGUGAGUAACACGUGGGUAACCUGCCCAAGAGACUGGGAUAACACCUGGAAACAGAUGCUAAUACCGGAUAACAACACUAGACGCAUGUCUAGAGUUUGAAAGAUGGUUCUGCUAUCACUCUUGGAUGGACCUGCGGUGCAUUAGCUAGUUGGUAAGGUAACGGCUUACCAAGGCAAUGAUGCAUAGCCGAGUUGAGAGACUGAUCGGCCACAUUGGGACUGAGACACGGCCCAAACUCCUACGGGAGGCAGCAGUAGGGAAUCUUCCACAAUGGACGAAAGUCUGAUGGAGCAACGCCGCGUGAGUGAAGAAGGGUUUCGGCUCGUAAAGCUCUGUUGGUAGUGAAGAAAGAUAGAGGUAGUAACUGGCCUUUAUUUGACGGUAAUUACUUAGAAAGUCACGGCUAACUACGUGCCAGCAGCCGCGGUAAUACGUAGGGGGCGAGCGUUAUCCGGAAUUACUGGGUGUAAAGGGAGCGUAGACGGCGAGGUAAGCCUGAAGUGGAAGCCCGCGGCCCAACCGCGGAACUGCUUUGGGAACUGUUUUGCUGGAGUAUGGGAGGGGUAAGCGGAAUUCCUGGUGUAGCGGUGAAAUGCGUAGAUAUCAGGAGG
rnacentral:rRNA from 1 species